CUACGGGGCGCAGCAGUGAGGAAUAUUGCACAAUGGGGGGAACCCUGAUGCAGCAACGCCGCGUGGAGGAUGACGCAUUUCGGUGUGUAAACUCCUUUUAUAUGUCAAGUAAAUGACGGUAGCAUAUGAAUAAGCACCGGCUAACUCCGUGCCAGCAGCCGCGGUAAUACGGAGGGUGCAAGCGUUACUCGGAAUCACUGGGCGUAAAGGGCGCGUAGGCGGGUUGGAAAGUCAGGUGUGAAAUCCUACAGCUUAACUGUAGAACUGCACUUGAAACUUCUAAUCUAGAGUAUGGGAGGGGGAGAUGGAAUUAGUGGUGUAGGGGUAAAAUCCGUAGAUAUCACUAGGAAUACCCAAAGCGAAGGCGAUCUCCUGGAACAUUACUGACGCUAAGGCGUGAAAGCGUGGGGAGCAAACAGGAUUAGAUACCCCUGUAGUC
rnacentral:rRNA from 1 species